GUGGCGGAAUGGCAGACGCGACGGUCUCAAGAGCCGUUGGGCGGCAACGCCCGUGUGGGUUCGACUCCCACCGUCGAGACCA
rnacentral:tRNA from 1 species